UACGUAGGGAGCAAGCGUUGUCCGGAAUCAUUGGGCGUAAAGAGCGUGUAGGCGGUUUGCUAAGUCUGGUGUGAAAUCUUUCGGCUUAACCGGAAGCGGUCACUGGAAACUGGCAGACUUGAAUCUGGAAGAGGAGUGUGGAAUUCCUGGUGUAGCGGUGGAAUGCGCAGAUAUCAGGAGGAACACCUAUGGCGAAGGCAGCACUCUGGUACAUGAUUGACGCUGAGACGCGAAAGCGUGGGGAGCAAACAGGAUUAGAUACCCUGGUAGUCCACGCCGUAAACGAUGGAUGCUAGGUGUGGGUGGUGUCGAUUCCAUCCGUGCCGAAGCUAACGCAGUAAGCAUCCCGCCUGGGGAGUACGGCCGCAAGGCUAAA
rnacentral:rRNA from 1 species